rnacentral:rRNA from 1 species
CACGGGGGGAGCAAGCGUUGUUCGGAAUUACUGGGCGUAAAGGGCGUGUAGGCGGUCGAGUGAGUGAGAUGUGAAAUGCCCCGGCUCACCCGGGGACCUGCAUCUCAUACUGCUAGGCUCGAGUACGGGAGAGGAUGAGGGAAUUCCUGGUGUAGCGGUGAAAUGCGUAGAUAUCAGGAGGAACACCGGUGGCGAAAGCGCUCAUCUGGCCCGAUACUGACGCUGAGGCGCGAAAGCUAGGGGAGCAAACGGG